GCCCUCUUUCGAACGUCUUUUAGCAGACAAUAAGACUUAAGUAGCGCUUGUUUGAAAAUGUAGGAAUAAGUUCCCUUUUUUAUUUUGUAAAAAAUAAACUUUAUGAA